UGCACUUGUUGACAAGAAUCUUUUGGGGGG
rnacentral:piRNA from 1 species